rnacentral:rRNA from 1 species
GUAUCUUGGGAGGAGAACUAACAAGGAUUCCCCUAGUAACUGCGAGUGAAGCGGGAAAAGCUCAAAUUUAAAAUCUGGUGGCCUUUGUCCAUCCGAGUUGUAAUUUAGAGAAGCGUCUUCCGCGCUGGACCGUGCACAAGUCUCCUGGAAUGGAGCGUCAUAGAGGGUGAGAAUCCCGUCUUUGGCACGGACACACCAGGGCUUUUGUGAUGCGCUCUCAAAGAGUCGAGUUGUUUGGGAAUGCAGCUCAAAAUGGGUGGUGAACUCCAUCUAAAGCUAAAUAUUGGCGAGAGACCGAUAGCGAACAAGUACCGUGAGGGAAAGAUGAAAAGCACUUUGGAAAGAGAGUGAAACAGUACGUGAAAUUGUUGAAAGGGAAACGCUUGAAGUCAGUCGCGUCGCCCGAGACUCAGCCUUGCCUCGGCUUGGUGUACUUCUCGGCUGACGGGUCAGCAUCAAUUUUGCCCCUUGGAUAAUGGCGAGGGAAAUGUGACACCUUUACGGGUGUGUUAUAGUCUCUCGUCGCAUGCAAGGGUCGGGAUUGAGGAACUCAGCACGCGCCUUUCGGCGUCGGGGCGUUCGCCCACGAUACGUGCUUAGGAUGUUGGCGUAAUGGCUUUAAACGACCCGUCUUGAAACACGGACCAAGGAGUCUAACAUGCCCGCGAGUGUUCGGGUGGAAAACCCGUGCGCGCAAUGAAAGUGAAAGUUUGGGACCUCUGUCGUGGAGGGCACCGACGCCCCGGACCAGACCCUUUCUGUGACGGAUCUGCGGUAGAGCGUGUAAUGUUAGGACCCGAAAAGAUGGUGAAUCUAUGCCUGAAUUAGGGUGAACCAGAGGAAACUUCUGGUG